rnacentral:rRNA from 1 species
GAGGCGAUGAAGGACGUGCUAAUCUGCGAAAAGCGUCGGUAAGGUGAUAUGAACCGUUAUAACCGGCGAUGUCCGAAUGGGGAAACCCAGUGCAAUUCGUUGCACUAUCGUUAACUGAAUACAUAGGUUAACGAGGCGAACCGGGGGAACUGAAACAUCUAAGUACCCCGAGGAAAAGAAAUCAACCGAGAUUCCCCCAGUAGCGGCGAGCGAACGGGGAGCAGCCCAGAGUCUGAAUCAGCUUGUGUGUUAGUGGAACGGUCUGGAAAGUCCGACGGUACAGGGUGAUAGUCCCGUACACCAAAAUGCACAGGUUGUGAACUCGAAGAGUAGGGCGGGACACGUGGUAUCCUGUCUGAAUAUGGGGGGACCAUCCUCCAAGGCUAAAUACUCCUGACUGACCGAUAGUGAACCAGUACCGUGAGGGAAAGGCGAAAAGAACCCCGGCGAGGGGAGUGAAAAAGAACCUGAAACCGUGUACGUACAAGCAGUGGGAGCACCUUCGGGUGUGACUGCGUACCUUUUGUAUAAUGGGUCAGCGACUUAUAUUCUGUAGCAAGGUUAACCGUAUAGGGGAGCCGCAGGGAAACCGAGUCUUAACUGGGCGUUAAGUUGCAGGGUAUAGACCCGAAACCCGGUGAUCUAGCCAUGGGCAGGUUGAAGGUUGGGUAACACUAACUGGAGGACCGAACCGACUAAUGUUGAAAAAUUAGCGGAUGACUUGUGGCUGGGGGUGAAAGGCCAAUCAAACCGGGAGAUAGCUGGUUCUCCCCGAAAGCUAUUUAGGUAGCGCCUCGUGAAUUCAUCUUCGGGGGUAGAGCACUGUUUCGGCUAGGGGGUCAUCCCGACUUACCAACCCGAUGCAAACUACGAAUACCGAAGAAUGUUAUCACGGGAGACACACGGCGGGUGCUAACGUCCGUCGUGAAGAGGGAAACAACCCAGACCGCCAGCUAAGGUCCCAAAGUCAUGGUUAAGUGGGAAACGAUGUGGGAAGGCACAGACAGCCAGGAUGUUGGCUUAGAAGCAGCCAUCAUUUAAAGAAAGCGUAAUAGCUCACUGGUCGAGUCGGCCUGCGCGGAAGAUGUAACGGGGCUAAACCAUGCACCGAAGCUGCGGCAGCGACACUAUGUGUUGUUGGGUAGGGGAGCGUUCUGUAAGCCUGCGAAGGUGUGCUGUGAGGCAUGCUGGAGGUAUCAGAAGUGCGAAUGCUGACAUAAGUAACGAUAAAGCGGGUGAAAAGCCCGCUCGCCGGAAGACCAAGGGUUCCUGUCCAACGUUAAUCGAGGCAGGGUGAGUCGACCCCUAAGGCGAGGCCGAAAGGCGUAGUCGAUGGGAAACAGGUUAAUAUUCCUGUACUUGGUGUUACUGCGAAGGGGGGACGGAGAAGGCUAUGUUAGCCGGGCGACGGUUGUCCCGGUUUAAGCAUGUAGGCUGGUUGUCCAGGCAAAUCCGGAUAAUCAAGGCUGAGGUGUGAUGACGAGGCACUACGGUGCUGAAGUAACAAAUGCCCUGCUUCCAGGAAAAGCCUCUAAGCAUCAGGUAACAUCAAAUCGUACCCCAAACCGACACAGGUGGUCAGGUAGAGAAUACCAAGGCGCUUGAGAGAACUCGGGUGAAGGAACUAGGCAAAAUGGUGCCGUAACUUCGGGAGAAGGCACGCUGGUGUGUAGGUGAAGUCCCUGCGGAUGGAGCUGAGACCAGUCGAAGAUACCAGCUGGCUGCAACUGUUUAUUAAAAACACAGCACUGUGCAAACACGAAAGUGGACGUAUACGGUGUGACGCCUGCCCGGUGCCGGAAGGUUAAUUGAUGGGGUUAUCCGUAAGGAGAAGCUCUUGAUCGAAGCCCCGGUAAACGGCGGCCGUAACUAUAACGGUCCUAAGGUAGCGAAAUUCCUUGUCGGGUAAGUUCCGACCUGCACGAAUGGCGUAAUGAUGGCCAGGCUGUCUCCACCCGAGACUCAGUGAAAUUGAACUCGCUGUGAAGAUGCAGUGUACCCGCGGCAAGACGGAAAGACCCCGUGAACCUUUACUAUAGCUUGACACUGAACAUUGAGCCUUGAUGUGUAGGAUAGGUGGGAGGCUUUGAAGCGUGGACGCCAGUCUGCGUGGAGCCAACCUUGAAAUACCACCCUUUAAUGUUUGAUGUUCUAACGUUGGCCCCUUACCGGGGUUGCGGACAGUGUCUGGUGGGUAGUUUGACUGGGGCGGUCUCCUCCCAAAGCGUAACGGAGGAGCACGAAGGUUAGCUAAUCCUGGUCGGACAUCAGGAGGUUAGUGCAAUGGCAUAAGCUAGCUUGACUGCGAGCGUGACGGCGCGAGCAGGUGCGAAAGCAGGUCAUAGUGAUCCGGUGGUUCUGAAUGGAAGGGCCAUCGCUCAACGGAUAAAAGGUACUCCGGGGAUAACAGGCUGAUACCGCCCAAGAGUUCAUAUCGACGGCGGUGUUUGGCACCUCGAUGUCGGCUCAUCACAUCCUGGGGCUGAAGUAGGUCCCAAGGGUAUGGCUGUUCGCCAUUUAAAGUGGUACGCGAGCUGGGUUUAGAACGUCGUGAGACAGUUCGGUCCCUAUCUGCCGUGGGCGCUGGAGAAUUGAGGGGGGCUGCUCCUAGUACGAGAGGACCGGAGUGGACGCAUCACUGGUGUUCGGGUUGUCAUGCCAAUGGCACUGCCCGGUAGCUAAAUGCGGAAGAGAUAAGUGCUGAAAGCAUCUAAGCACGAAACUUGCCCCGAGAUGAGUUCUCCCUGAGACUUUAAGUCUCCUGAAGGAACGUUGAAGACGACGACGUUGAUAGGCCGGGUGUGUAAGCGCAGCGAUGCGUUGAGCUAACCGGUACUAAUGAACCGUGAGGCUUAACCUU